GACGAACGCUGGCGGCGUGCCUAAUGCAUGCAAGUCGAGCGCAGGAAAUCGACGGAACCCUUCGGGGGGAAGUCGACGGAAUGAGCGGCGGACGGGUGAGUAACACGUAAAGAACCUGCCCUCAGGUCUGGGAUAACCACGAGAAAUCGGGGCUAAUACCGGAUGGGUCAUCGGACCGCAUGGUCCGAGGAUGAAAGGCGCUUCGGCGUCGCCUGGGGAUGGCUUUGCGGUGCAUUAGCUAGUUGGUGGGGCAAUGGCCCACCAAGGCGACGAUGCAUAGCCGACCUGAGAGGGUGAUCGGCCACACUGGGACUGAGACACGGCCCAGACUCCUACGGGAGGCAGCAGUAGGGAAUCUUCCACAAUGGACGAAAGUCUGAUGGAGCAACGCCGCGUGAACGAUGAAGGCCUUCGGGUCGUAAAGUUCUGUUGUAAGGGAAGAACAAGUGCCGCAGGCAAUGGCGGCACCUUGACGGUACCUUGCGAGAAAGCCACGGCUAACUACGUGCCAGCCGCCGCCGUAA
rnacentral:rRNA from 1 species